UACAUGGGGUGCAAACGUUGCUCGGAAUCACUGGGCGUAAAGCGCACGUAGGCGGAUGUGUCAGUCAGGGGUGAAAUCCCGGGGCUCAACCUCGGAACUGCCUUUGAUACAGCACGUCUCGAGUCCGGAAGAGGUGGGUGGAAUUCCUAGUGUAGAGGUGAAAUUCGUAGAUAUUAGGAAGAACACCGGUGGCGAAGGCGGCCCACUGGUCCGGUACUGACGCUGAGGUGCGAAAGCGUGGGGAGCAAACAGG
rnacentral:rRNA from 1 species